rnacentral:rRNA from 1 species
UGGGGAAUAUUGCACAAUGGGCGCAAGCCUGAUGCAGCCAUGCCGCGUGUAUGAAGAAGGCCUUCGGGUUGUAAAGUACUUUCAGCGGGGAGGAAGGCGAUAAGGUUAAUAACCUUGUCGAUUGACGUUACCCGCAGAAGAAGCACCGGCUAACUCCGUGCCAGCAGCCGCGGUAAUACGGAGGGUGCAAGCGUUAAUCGGAAUUACUGGGCGUAAAGCGCACGCAGGCGGUCUGUCAAGUCGGAUGUGAAAUCCCCGGGCUCAACCGGGGAACUGCAUUCGAAACUGGCAGGCUAGAGUCUUGUAGAGGGGGGUAGAAUUCCAGGUGUAGCGGUGAAAUGCGUAGAGAUCUGGAGGAAUACCGGUGGCGAAGGCGGCCCCCUGGACAAAGACUGGCGCUCAGGUGCGAAAGCGUGGGGAGCAAACA